AUAUAUAUAUAUAUAUAAUAAAUAAAAUUAAUAUCUCCAGCCUGUAGAGAUAGUUGCAUCUGUAGUUAUAGACGUGCAAAAUCUAGAAUUAAAUGCCAUUUAUCAGUAACUGAUAACGCUUGUAGUGCUGGUGCUGGAGAUUUCAACGUGGCUGUCCAUGUGACCAUCCGCCAAAGAUAUUUAAGAACGGAAAUACCCUCAACUUUAGCCAAAUAUUAUGUGGAGAGAAGACAAAGAGGAGAAGGAAUAUAUGGGUAAUGUAAAUAGCAAAUGACAAGAGAAACGAGGCAUUAAACGACAAUAAGCAGUGAACUGAAAGAUGUGUAUGCAUAGAGAAUAACGUAGUAGUAAUGUACCUGCGACGUUGAUAUUCUCAACAAUGUAAAGAACGUUAUCCUCAUUGAUCUCUCCCUUCUGCUGUGAGUCCAAAAUAUGAUCUAUCGCGCAUUUCAACCCUUCAUUGUUCAUGCUCUUG
rnacentral:misc_RNA from 1 species